UCUAGAAAACAUGUCACCCUUCUCUCCGUGUACAAUGCCAAUCUAGAAAACAUGUCACCCUUCUCUCCGUAUACAAUGCCAAUCUAGAAAACAUGUCGCCCUUCUCUCCGUAUACAAUGCCAAUCUAUAAAACAUGUCACCCUUCUCUCCGUAUACAAUGCCAAUCUAGAAAACAUGUCGCCCUCCUCUCCGUAUACAAUGCCAAUCUAGAAAACGUGUCACCCUUCUCUCCGUGUACAAUGCCAAUCUAGAAAACAUGUCGCCCUUCUUUCCGUAUACAAUGCCAAUCUAUAGAACAUGUCACCCUUCUCUCCGUGUACAAUGCCAAUCUAGAAAAC